rnacentral:lncRNA from 1 species
CAGACGUUGAAAGGAAUAACAGAACCAUAAGGCUGGAGGAGAUCUGGAAGGGUUAUCUGGCCCGGCUUAUCUCAGAGCAAGACCAGUCAGGAUUUUCCUUUCAAUGAUUGUCCCUUCCCUGUUUGUCCUCUUCAUAACUUGUUUCUCUUGCAUCUCUCCAUGCUGCUUGGUAUUCCCCCUUCUAGCUGCCAUACCUUUUCUCCUUCUGUAAGGUUUAUUGACCAAACAGUGUACUGAAUUGUCAGAAAGAGCAUGCCUAGGGAAUUUCUGAGGCCAAACAUACAAGCAUUGAGCACCAGUGACUACAGUUGAAUGCCAGUGGCUAUAUUUAUAAUCUUCUGUGCAUGAAAACAUAAUUUUCUUCAGAUCUGUCUCCAUUUGUGCAUGCUAAUGCUUACUUAUACCUUGUGGGCAGCUUAAGAAGGAAAAUGUUUAACCAAUCUUACAUACUUUACAUAAAAACUGGCUUUUGAAGGGCUUUUAAGCAUCAUCAUACUACCAUUCUCAACACAUCCCUGUAGCAUGGGUGGUCCUGGCUUACAUGAAAUGAUGAGAGGAACUCAAAUGGAGUAAAAAAAAAAAAAAGUCAAAUCAAAGAGGUAACACUGCUAAGAUUUUUGCAUUGUCUAAAUAAUACUGGCAACUAACUGUUAGUGGGUUUUUUUCUUUGCAGGGUUCUGGUGAAAGACAAAAAUCAAGCUUUUAUGACUUUGGCUUCUUAGAUGUUGCGGUGACAUUCUAAUUUAAUAAGCUAACAAUUUAUGAGUUUGCCACUUCUGAAUAGAAGACAGCCAUUGUGAGAAGAGCAGUCAAUUUUCAGCUCUAGUUGUGUCUUCAUCAUGAUUAAAAAGAACUCAUUUCAGGAGACCGCAAGAAAUCGGACUCUGGCACGCUCUGUUCUGGCCUUUCUCAGAAACAGUUGCUGGCAAUGAAAAAAUAAGAUGCUGCCCAGGCCACCUCUGCUGGGAAAGCUUUAUGUUGUGCAAGAAGGGCUCAGAUUUGGCAGAGAGAAUUGGUAUUAAAACAGCAGUGGAGCAGCAGAUGCUAUACCUUGCAUAUUGCUAAAGAUGCUACCUGUGCAGUUCCAAAAAACACGGGCCCUACUAAUGGGAAGAAGCAGAAGAACUCCCAUUGACUUCAGUUGAGUAUAGAUUUCAGGUGGCAAAUAGAGUGGUGUUACUUUCUGAGGAACUGUUUACAGUAGCUUUGACUUCUCUUUUGUACUUUAUAAAAUAGAGUUACAUUCCAUAAAUAAAGUGUCUGCUUUGCAUUAAACUCA